rnacentral:rRNA from 1 species
UACGUAGGGGGCAAGCGUUAUCCGGAUUUACUGGGUGUAAAGGGAGCGUAGACGGCAGAGCAAGUCUGAAGUGAAAGCCCGCGGCCCAACUGCGGGACUGCUUUGGAAACUGCCCGGCUAGAGUGCUGGAGAGGUAAGCGGAAUUCCUAGUGUAGCGGUGAAAUGCGUAGAUAUUAGGGGGAACACCAGUGGCGAAGGCGGCUUACUGGACAGUAACUGACGUUGAGGCUCGAAAGCGUGGGGAGCAAACAGG